CCGCCCCGCCCUCUGCGGAGGUGAUGACGACACUGAGCAGCGACGCGCACUUUUAGGACGUGCUUGUGACCCGCCUUCCGGAAGGAAGCGGCUAACUAUGGCGACCGCCACGGAGCAGUGGGUCCUGGUGGAGAUGGUACAGGCGCUCUACGAGGCUCCUACUUACCAUCUUAUUUUGGAAGGGAUUCUGAUACUCUGGAUAAUCAGACUUCUUUUCUCUAAGACUUACAAAUUACAAGAACGAUCUGAUCUUACAGUCAAGGAAAAAGAAGAACUGAUUGAAGAGUGGCAACCAGAACCUCUUGUUCCUCCUGUCCCAAAAGACCAUCCUGCUCUCAACUACAACAUCGUUUCAGGCCCUCCAAGCCACAAAAUUGUGGUGAAUGCAAAAGAAUGUAUAAACUUCGCCUCAUUUAAUUUUCUUGGAUUGUUGGAUAACCCUAGGGUUAAGGCAGCAGCUUUAGCAUCUCUAAAGAAGUAUGGCGUGGGGACUUGUGGACCCAGAGGAUUUUAUGGCACGUUUGAUGUUCAUUUGGAUUUGGAAGACCGCCUGGCAAAAUUUAUGAAGACAGAAGAAGCCAUUAUAUACUCAUAUGGAUUUGCCACCAUAGCCAGCGCUAUUCCUGCUUACUCUAAAAGAGGGGACAUUGUUUUUGUAGAUAGAGCUGCCUGCUUUGCUAUUCAGAAAGGAUUACAGGCAUCCCGUAGUGACAUUAAGUUAUUUAAGCAUAAUGACAUGGCUGACCUCGAGCGACUACUAAAAGAACAAGAGAUCGAAGAUCAAAAGAAUCCUCGCAAGGCUCGUGUAACUCGGCGUUUCAUUGUAGUCGAAGGAUUGUAUAUGAAUACUGGAACUAUUUGUCCUCUUCCAGAAUUGGUUAAGUUAAAAUACAAAUACAAAGCAAGAAUCUUCCUGGAGGAAAGCCUUUCAUUUGGAGUCCUAGGAGAGCAUGGCCGAGGAGUCACUGAACACUAUGGAAUCAAUAUUGAUGAUAUUGAUCUUAUCAGUGCCAACAUGGAGAAUGCACUUGCUUCUAUUGGAGGUUUCUGCUGUGGCAGGUCUUUUGUAAUUGACCAUCAGCGACUUUCCGGCCAGGGAUACUGCUUUUCAGCCUCGUUACCUCCCCUGUUAGCUGCUGCAGCAAUUGAGGCCCUCAACAUCAUGGAAGAGAAUCCAGGGAUUUUUGCAGUGUUGAAGGAAAAGUGCGGACAAAUUCAUAAAGCUUUACAAGGCAUUUCUGGAUUAAAAGUGGUGGGGGAGUCCCUUUCUCCAGCCUUUCACCUACAACUGGAAGAGAGCACUGGGUCUCGCGAGCAAGAUGUCAGACUGCUUCAGGAAAUUGUAGAUCAAUGCAUGAACAGAAGUAUUGCAUUAACUCAGGCGCGCUACUUGGAGAAAGAAGAGAAGUGUCUCCCUCCUCCCAGCAUUCGGGUUGUGGUCACGGUGGAACAAACAGAGGAAGAACUGGAGAGAGCUGCGUCCACCAUCAAGGAGGUAGCCCAGGCCGUCCUGCUCUAGGCAGAGUCCCGGGACCAUGGCUUCCUGCCACACAGCACGCAGAGAGGACUCAAGACUCCCGCUGGCCAUGGAGGGGCCUGAAGGAGAGCAAGAACAUGUGCAUCUUUGAUAGGAUUGUUACCAAAUGGUGUCAGUAUGGACCAAUUGUGUGACCAUGAGAAGGAUGCUUAUUUUUUUUUAAAAAGAAAACACAUCUAAAAGCCCAGGAACUGAUUUUUUUAAGAGGAAAAUUAAGGACAGUGUAUAACAUAUUUAAAUUGUGCAUUUAGUACUAUUUAAAUGUUUUCUUAUACCAGUAUUUUAUAUUCUUUUGUUGUCGUUUAAAACUGGAGCUUCAGUAUCUCUUCCCUCCCUUCUAAUAGUAAUGGUUCAGUAAGCACUCCUUAACUCCUUAGUAUUUCUUAGAAAAAUGACUGCAACAUUAAAGCUAAGAGGAACACUUCAACAUAUGUGGUACAAAUUUAUGUUGAAGAUCUAAAUAAACCGCGUAUUUUCCAGUCUUCGUCGUGUGAAGCUAAGUGGUGGCUAAAAGGAACACUUUUUGUGUGAUUAUUAUAAACUUUGCAUUGUAUUUGAAUCCUAGAACUUUUGUACACAUUAAAUAUUGAUGUCACACCAUUUCUAAUCUGAGCAUCCUUAGCCAGAGAAUAUUCAUUAUACUUCCUAAGUGAGCAAUAAUUUAAAUCAGAAGCUAUUUUAUUUUAAUAUAAUUGACCUUUCUUUACAUUUCUUAUGUGUUCACCUCUAAUCUGUUUUAGGAAGAGGGUUGGUUAUUAUGUUGAUCCCAGAAUAUAAAUCAUAUCCUUUAUAUUUUAGAAUAUCUCAAAUGUAUUCCUUUUUUGUAUGGUGGGUUUGCCUAGGGACGUGUAACUACAGGCUUUUUCUAAGGUAAGGAAAAAGAGAAUUUUUCUUUUCAGCUUACAAAUUCUAGAUUACAAAAGAUGUGAAAGCACUAAAAAUACCAUUUUUAAGCAGUACUUUACCUGUUUUUUCUUUAGCAAACCAGGUUAUGUGGUGUAAAGGUUUGUUAUAUGUGCCACAAGAUAGCAUAUAAAUAUUAUGCCAUCAUUCCUUCUCUUGUUAAAGGUAGAAGAAUAAAAUUGUCAUUUUUAUAAUCUGUGCUCUUAUUACUCAAAUGGUCUUCAACAUCUUUUUAAACAACAGGUAUUUUUUGAAUGUUCAGUUUCUAUUUUGCUUGAGGUAUUUUGUACAUAUGUGCCUUGUGAUUGCUGCUGCUUUAAAGGAUAAAGUACUCUUUGGGGGAUGAGUCUGGUUUGUUUUAUUUUUUAAUGAAAUAAACCUAUAUUCCUGAUUA